AGAGGAAGAGGAAGAGGAAGAAGAGAAUGAAGAAGUGAAGAAGGCUAAUGGUGGUGUCCACUCCACGGAGGUAGAUUUUUUGUUUAAAUGUGCUUCAUCUGGAUUCACCAAUCCUUAUUCUUGCUUUAUGCUUCUUCCACAUCAUGAUCUCUAUUGCGUACUUGCAUAAUCAAAUCUCUGUGUCAAUAAAAUAAAAUGUAGUGUUUGAUCCUUUUGGCAAUUGGAACUCAUGGUUUCGUAAUUUUCAGUCUUGAUUAAUCAAAUUCAGUUGCUUAAAUGCACGGCUCUUAGUGCUAGGUUUCAUUAUGGAAUGACUAGAAACCAUCUUAUCAGUGUGCUGUUUAUAUCAUUUUGCAUUUAUCUCAACUCGGCUCGGCCAAUUUCAUUCUUGUAUUUUAUGUACUUUAGGAUCUUUUUUCGCUAGCACCAACUCCCACUUUAUAAAAACUGCAAUUUUCUAAUAUUGCUUUGCAGAGAACCUUUGAGAUGAUGCUUUUCUGUUUGUGUGUUUCUUUUUUGGUCACUAAAGCCAUAUUUCAAUUCUUUCUGAAACUUCUCUUGUGGUUAAUCCAAUGUGUAUUGUAUGUGUUUCAUUAAUCUAAAGUAUAAAUCAUGUCGAUCCCAUAUGAGUUGAUGUUGAGUUAAUAUGACCAACAUUCAUGAAAAUUUAAAGAUACACGUCUGAGUCAUUAUGAACAAUACCGAUAAAGGUAAUAUUACCUCUUGUCUAGGAGGGAAAAAAAGAAUUGUAUUUAACCUAAUAGGGACACAAAAUGAAGAUGAUUCUUCUCAUCAUGGAAAAGUAAAAUAUGUAAUACAGCAUGUUUCUCAGUAUGUGAUGCACAAUGUUCUAACAUGUAUGGUUGAUGCUUUAUUCUUUAGUUUUCUUCCAAGAUCAUGUUGCAAGAUAGUUGACUAG
rnacentral:misc_RNA from 1 species